AUCUUUGCAAGUACCUCAGUGCUGGUGAUUGUAAGGGAAAACUUCAUAUCUAUUACCUACAAACUUCUGAUUAUUCAUGCUUUCAGGGUGCUCAUGACUCAAGUAAAAAGGAGGCUAAUUCUGAAGAAGCCACAGAUAGACAGUCCUUCCUUGCAUCAGGGGGCCACUAUUGAAUGAUCCAUCUUCAUGAUGUCAGUAGGGAAAAUGUCAUAUCUCAAUUGGGAGAGGUUGAAGAAGAAUAGGGUCAAAGCCGAAGUUCGACAUGGAGAGA